rnacentral:rRNA from 1 species
UACGGGGGGGGGCAAGCGUUGUUCGGAAUUACUGGGCGUAAAGGGCUCGUAGGCGGCCAACUAAGUCAGACGUGAAAUCCCUCGGCUUAACCGGGGAACUGCGUCUGAUACUGGAUGGCUUGAGGUUGGGAGAGGGAUGCGGAAUUCCAGGUGUAGCGGUGAAAUGCGUAGAUAUCUGGAGGAACACCGGUGGCGAAGGCGGCAUCCUGGACCGGCAUUGACGCUGAGGAGCGAAAGCCAGGGGAGCAAACGGG